CCUACGGGAGGCAGCAGUGGGGGAUAUUGCACAAUGGGGGAAACCCUGAUGCAGCGACGCCGCGUGUGGGAAGACGGUCCUCGGGAUUGUAAACCACUUUCACCAGGGACGAAGAUGACGGUACCUGGGGAGGAAGCGCCGGCGAACUACGUGCCAGCAGCCGCGGUAAUACGUAGGGAGCGAGCGUUGUCCGGAUUUACUGGGUGUAAAGGGAGCGUGGGCGGGACUGCAGGAUCGGUGUAAAAUCUACCGCCUCAACCGGUAGCGGCACUCCAAACUGCAGUUCUUGAGUGAAGGAGAGGCAGGCGGAAUUCCUAGUGUAGCGGUGAAAUGCGUAGAUAUUAGGAGGAACACCAGUGGCGAAGGCGGCCUUCUGGGCUUUUACUGACGCUGAGGCUCGAAAGUGUGGGGAGCAAACAGGAUUAGAUACCCGUGUAGUC
rnacentral:rRNA from 1 species